rnacentral:rRNA from 1 species
UACGGGGGGAGCAAGCGUUGUUCGGAUUUACUGGGCGUAAAGGGCGCGUAGGCGGCCAGCACAAGUCAGUUGUGAAAUCUCCGAGCUUAACUCGGAAAGGUCAACUGAUACUGUGCGGCUAGAGUGCGGAAGGGGCAACUGGAAUUCUUGGUGUAGCGGUGAAAUGCGUAGAUAUCAAGAGGAACACCUGCGGCGAAGGCGGGUUGCUGGGCCGACACUGACGCUGAUGCGCGAAAGCUAGGGAGCAAACAGG